UAUUGGACAAUGGGGGAAACCCUGAUCCAGCCAUGCCGCGUGUGUGAAGAAGGCCUUUUGGUUGUAAAGCACUUUAAGCAGUGAAGAAGACUCCAUGGUUAAUACCCAUGGACGUUGACAUUAGCUGCAGAAUAAGCACCGGCUAACUCUGUGCCAGCAGCCGCGGUAGUACAGAGGGUGCAAGCGUGAAUCGGAAUUACUGGGCGGAAAGCGAGCGUAGGUGGCUUGAUAAGUCAGAUGUGAAAUCCCCGGGCUCAACCUGGGAACUGCAUCUGAUACUGUUGAGCUAGAGUAUGUGAGAGGAAGGUAGAAUUCCAGGUGUAGCGGUGAAAUGCGUAGAGAUCUGGAGGAAUACCGAUGGCGAAAGCAGCCUUCUGGCAUAAUACUGACACUGAGGCUCGAAAGCGUGGGUAGCAAACAG
rnacentral:rRNA from 1 species